AGUCCUGGUUCGUGACUGAACCGGGACUAAUGUGAAUACUGCCCUGUGACCAAAGCCCUGUUUUCUACUAGUGAUUGACUUCGUGACAUUCUUUCCUUGCUUGGAGAAGUUAUAUAUUUUGUUAUUCCGGGAUGGGGCAUCAAAAAGAGCACGACACCAUUUUCCACUUGGUUAUAUUGAAUGUUUGGAGCUCCAUCUCAAAAAGGUAGUGCUGAUAAAUUAUCAUGGAUCACCGAGAGAUGUUAAUUUUGCAAGGUUCUUUCUGUUGAACGCAAAAGUGCUAGAACACAUGGAGUUUGCAACACGCAAAUCAGAAGAUCGAAAGAAACACAUUUCUGAAUGGAUAGCUAGCCAACCAAUGAAACUACAUGUGGAUAACAGGGCUUGUCAAGGUGCUCAGUUUAAUUUUACCCAUGCUUCUUACCGCGAUGACGGGAUACAUAUUGGGCACAUACAUGAUCUCACUGUUAGUGACCCCUUUGAUAGAUCAUUGUGUCGAUGCCGUGAUGUCGAUGUACUUUGAGAUACUCUCAGCUGUAGCGUUCUUAUUUCACGGCUUGGGAAAACUUUAGAUGGUAUCUGUAAUAUUUGACAUUUGUUUUGGUUGGAACAUCUGUAUUUCUUUGCCAAUCUAUGUUGCUACAUCACAUGCA